rnacentral:rRNA from 1 species
UACGGGGUGCAGCAGGCGCGAAACCUCCGCAAUGCGCGAAAGCGUGACGGGGUUACCCCGAGUGCCGUCCGUUGAGGAUGGCUUUUCCCUAGUGUAAGGAGCUGGGGGAAUAAAGGGGGGGCAAGUCUGGUGUCAGCCGCCGCGGUAAUACCAGCCCCCUGAGUGAUAGGGACGAUUAUUUAGCCUAAAGCGUCCGUAGCCGGUUUAGCAAGUCUUUCGUUAAAUCUGACGACUUAAUCGCCAGGCCGCGGAAGAUACUGCUAGGCUAGAGGGCGGGAGAGGUUGACGGUAGUCCCGGAGUAGGGGUGAAAUCCUAUAAUCCCGGGAGGACCACCAGUGGCGAAGGCGGUCAACUAGAACGCGCCUGACGGUGAUGGACGAAAGCUGGGGGAGCGAACCGGAUUAGACACCCGGGUAGUCCCAGCUGUAAACGAUGCGGGCUAGGUGUUGGUGCAGCUACGGGCUGCUCCAGUGCCGCAGAGAAGUCGUUAAGCCCGCCGCUUGGGAAGUACGGCCGCAAGGCUGAAACUUAAAGGAAUUGGCGGGGGAGCAC